AUUCUCAGCCACCUAUCAAAUUAUCCGGAGAGUUUCGCUACGCACAGGAUGAUAGUCCUAUCCUGUAUAGAUUGGGGUUGGAUCCUCUACGCUUCAAGCUGCAUAUGCAUAUAUUCCUUAUGCGAAAUUUCAACCUAAGCGGUUCGUUCUUUGUUUUCAAAGUUUCUUCCUUACUUGAUACAUCUAUCGUGUGGCCGAUGAAUUGGAAGUUGUGGAGAACUUACUGGCAGGACCAUUAAAGUUAGUUCACUUUAUUCUGUGAAGAGUCCAAGACUUCGUUCAACGUCUGCAAAACUACGUAGGACAAAGGGAUGAAGAAAUAGUUAACUUGGAAGGUUGGGUUGUCCGUUUUCCAGAAGACGUCUUUUAAUUCGCAUGAUUCUUCCACUUUCUGUAAUCCGGAAACAUAAAUCGACGGGAGCUCGGCACGAGAGAAGUAUACAGAUUGAUCGUCCGUAAAGGGAAAAACGCUGGGAAGCCGAUACAGACACCAUAUUUUCCCUCGAUCUCAAGAUAUCGCAGUCCCCUCUCGUUCUCUAUCUACAAAACGGGAACGAAAGCGUUUUGUCUUAUCCAGAACAACGUCGACGGGGUCAACAAUUUUGCCAGAAGAAGAUAAACGUGAAUUCAUUCAACGUUCUCCAAGCGUCUAGACACGUAGAUAGAGACACCUUAUCUCUAGGUAUAAAUCGAUAUAGGGACACAGGUCUAACACUAUGAGCUCGUAUCGAUAUCGAAUCAGGAUGCUCGAGAUUUAUGUUGGAUUUUAUCCUUGAUCAAACGGGUACUAGCUACGAGAGUGCUACUGUAGCAAAAAUAUAUUAAAUCGCACCACGUGAAAGUGAUGGACCGGCCGACUCCGUUCGUAGAGAGAUUUGCAAUAACGUUUGACCUUUUGACACGUGGUACGUUGAUGGCAUAUUAUGUGACCCAGGAAUUACCUCAGGGCAUUUGUACAAGUUUCUGAUCCCCCACGGAAUAAUGACCGAUAACAUUAAUCCGACCAGUCCUGGAGGAGCAGAACUUGAUUAAUUAGCGCGGGAGAGACCUUUUCCUGCGGACGCAACCUUGUGUCUUUAAGACUGACGUCAUUACGUGAGUAUAUGGCGAAUUAUUUGGAAUUUAUGGCCCGCUAGGAUCACUUUACUUCCUUAUGAUAUCGGCAAGCGGACGGAAGCAGGAAUUUGAGAAGAAUGGUUUCUUCUCGGGGCGAUGGGAAAUAAAAUGAAAGGAGGAGUAGAAGCGUGUGGAGUUAUCGAGAAUUUAGGAGAGAAGAAAGAAUUCAGGAAGCGGUACAAAGAAGAAUACGGUUAUAGAAAUUUACGAGAAUCCAUCGCUCUUGUGGAAACGCACUUUAUGGCGGUGACUGAGUAUUGCGCGUUAACCCAGAUUUACAUGUUCGUAAAGCCAACAGUCAUCAACGAGUCUUUCGCUCUUAGAAAAUACUCUAGAAACUAAGUCAACUGGUCCACGACCUCAGCUCUGCCAUUUGCCUCAGGUGAAAUAGAGUCCCUGUAUGCUAAAACGUGAUAUUAACAGAGCAUUAAGGAGGGUUAGGUCAAUAUUGUUCUUAGACACUAAUUGCUAUAUUAUAAUUCUCAUGUAUGAUUUCAUUAUCAGGGAAUCGGAAGCGACUCUUGACCUUCUGGUGUACCCACAUGAGACCCAGCUGAAUAAAUAAACAGAGAGCUCAGCAAGAAGCAAACAAACUGGAUUCCUGGUGAGAACAGGUGGCUAAAAUAGGACUAGACAGUACUCUACAAGCAGACACCCUCUAAGCCAAGUUCCCAGCAUCGGGUUGAUGUAGAGGGUGAGCUAAAAGGUGAUGAUAAUACUGGUCCCCCAGUGAGAAAAUGUUCUUCAUUACGUAGAGUGCUAUUAUCAUUGAGAAGAAAAUGUCCCAGGGUGUACCAUGAGAGUUGGUACAGUACUGUACUUCAGAGGUAUAGCUUAGUACGAGACCAAGAGGGUUGAGGUACUGUGUGGUUCAAACUCAACAAGCUUCUUUGGCAUCAGGACUCUACCUCAAAGAUAGAAAUAGCCCUGUAUAUGACUUAUCAAGUAAUUAUGUUACUGAGCUCGUGAAACGAUGGAAAUGAUCAUCCAGUAAUUGUGUUUUGUUAACAAGUGCAAAGAUUAGUGACGGCUGCCAUGAAACAGUAAAGACUAGAAGAGAAAACCCAUGUAAAUAUAUAACCUCUAAAGUUGUCUGGGACGCUCCUGAAGAAACUUGAUAUGAGUUGGGGUUAAUUGUGGGGUGUUACUCUGGAAUAGUUAUAGGGGUUAAAUUUUUUACAAGAAUGCCUGGAAUACGGCGGCUCUUACUCUGUAAGAAUAAUGAACAAUGAACGUUUAAAAAAGAUAUUUUGGCUAGACAACUGCCGUUCAUCAUGUGAACUUGGCUUCGUCUUCGGUAUGCUGGUGUAUGUGCAACUAACCAUACUGUAUAGCUUAGUAGUAUAUUAUCAGCAGAAUGAAGUAAACGUGCCUUCACGAAUUUUUCAUUUUAAAUGCCGAGAGAAAAUAGCAUGGUGUUGUGCGGAUAUAUAUUGGUGCGCCACAUAAUACUGCUUGUCUAAAUAUAUCGUGUGGGGUCCCGUGGUAGGGGUGAGAAAUUUAAUAUCGUUCGGCUGCAGCUACGAGGGUGACAGGAGACCCUCUGCAAAGGUCUCAACAUCUCCGCCGUAAUAUUGAACAAUAUUCCGGCUACAGGGUAUACGAGUUGGCUGCUGGUCAUGAAGGGCUGAUGAGCAGUGUACUACUAUUACCAUACGAUACUAUUGACGAAUCGGAGGAAUGAAAAUUCAAAGGAAACCGGACAAUCGAAUCGUGACGCGUGAAGAAUUUUAAUCUAAUCAGAAUGCUCCGUCACGGAUGUGAUGCAAUUGAAGAAGCGCUGACAAAGCUGAAUACAAAGUAACGGAAUUGACGUUUGUAGACCCAAGUAUUUGGGAUGCUGGCUUCGUUCGAUGCUGUUACGGGCUUUCAUGCAAACACGCCUACAGCCAGGACCAAACUACCCGGACCCAGCAUCCUUCCUGAUUGUAUCCAGCAGAUCGGGCAGGAAGAGCAUUUCUAGUAAACGAGGAAACUUAAUUGUUAAUGGAACGCUUAAUUAAAAGGAGCAGGGGCGAACCUGGUAUACGUGUAUAGGCUGUGGCAGGGAUCCCGAAGCGAUUCAGAAAAUGGCCAGGAUCUCGUUCAAUGCGCCGUUUAUAAAUGGCUGAAGAUAGCAGCAAUUUGCGGAGAUUUAUAAUAAAAAGGGAGAGCGAGAGAGGGGUUGGAUGGACGAUAAAGUAAGGGAUGUACCCAGGUAUCAAAACGCCUGUGAUUUCCAAGAUGAAGAGGAAGUGGAACGAGCAGCCACUCACGCAAUUAACACAGCUUCCAAUAGCCAGAGGGAAAGACUGUGGAGUAGAUCCUCUGGUGGAUUCUCGACGUGCAGCUGUCCUUCCGUUUUAUUCACGUUAAUGAGAAACGUCUGAAGAAUCAAGAUCCUGUGCAAGAGACAACAUUUUUAUUCAUAAGGAUACACUCCUGACCGAAUGACUCCUGAGACGAGGUCAAGUCGAGGCAAUAUCAUUUUUCAAACCAUAACACACGAUGCGCGAAGACACUUGGAAACGUCUAAAACGACUUUCGCCUUUUAACUUCCUAUAAGUUCGUCGAGGAUGUACGUAUGUACCACCUGUUACGACGUAUCGCUCGUUUACACUUCCUCAAUAAAUUACUGGUUUAAUACGUCUGCAGUUCUACACAUAUGCGAGAUACAAGUACUUACCAGGAGCCUGAAAACGGUAUUCAUGAUUCAAUGAAAUACUUGGUGUGAAAAUUCAUAAGAGUACUUCUUAAUGAGAGGAUGAAUAAACGAAACAAAAAUUCUCCUAGAAGUUCUAGGGUCUUUUUUUUGGCUCUCCACUAAAUGAAUGUCAGGACGAUUUAAUUAUCUAAGAGCAACAUUCACUGCCACAGUGGGAAAUUGUAGAGAUACAGUGUAUCAACUUCUCGCGUGUUUAUGCCAACACAAGUUAAAUUACUAAUUGCAACCGAAUCGAAUAUAGUAUAGAUAUCAUAGAUAACAGUGUGUGGGUUUCUCUUAAUUAAAGGUGCAGUCCAUUAAAAUUAUUAGAUACUGGACAGCGCCCUAGUAAGGUUUGCCUGGGAUAUUAACUGAUGCACUUACUCCAAGCAAGUUGCAUGCUCCAAAUAUGGCUUGAUAAAUAAAAUAUAAUUUCAUGAGUACGACAGCCACGUAUCCUCCAGACGUUUUACGUCGGUCUGGAGGUAUAAAUAUGAUAGGAUACAUAAAAAAAAUGUAUGCACAAGAUGAGUGUAGCGACUAAAGUAUCUGGUGUAAAACUGAUCCAGUGAAAAACGUUACGUUGGUUGACUGAAGGAGGAGAAAAGGGAACAAAGGUGUCUAACGGGACUUAAAGGAAAAAGAAUUUUCAGGUAAACUCACCUGUCUGCCAGUUCAUUCAAUGUAUGACGGUUCUCAUGUCACGACUUUGAGAAUCUCUGGGAUUUCCAGUUUCUUUUGACCUGUUGAGCCAGCAACGAAGUUCGUUAAAAUUCACUCAACGGUUUUCUCAUUGAACCGGAGCUCGUAAAUAUACCCCAAAUUGUCGACGCCCUUAGACUGAAUUAUCGUAGCUGGAUUUCUUGAUUAAACAGAAUAUCUUCAAGACUUGGUACUAGAAUGUUAUCAACCACCAGGAAGUCAUUGGGCAUAGUGAGAGUUUCUAUUCGCCAUUAGAGAAUGCAGGUCGAGGUUGACAAAUGUUAACAUAGUUUGUCCAUCGGAACUAACAGGUAGAACCAUCAGUGCAAACCCGAUGGUGGUGCCGGGACGAGGAGGGAAGCUGUAUCGAUUGGACGCUUCGCCAGGGAGCACCACCUUCGCAUCCCCAACCUUCAUCCUCCUCAUCCUAAUCCACAUUUUCUUCCACGUCCACCACCCGUUACUACGUUAGGCUAUUGUUUCUGCAGGACACUCAAAAGGUAUACCGACAGUAGUACAGACUUUGUAAGCACCUGGUUAAGGCAAGGUACCACACCGUGUAGUUGCCAACUUGAUAACACACUUCCCCACUCUAUAUAUAGGUAUCAGGAAACUCGUAACGUGCGUACGAGAUUUACCAGUGAUAUCAAGACUAAGGAAAUUAGCAUUUCAAACAGGUUUGCUACGCUCUUCACGUUGGGUUGCGCAAACCUAACCUCUACUGAAUUCAAUCCCUCGACAGUACUGCAGCAACAGCAUAAUGAACCCUCAUGCUUCUAUAUAUGCUCUUAUAACAAGCUUCUUGAAUUCCAAUAACUUUCCAGGAAAUUUUUGGCUAAUGUACAGUAUGUUAGCGUUCAGUUAAUAACAUGGCAGAUCGGCCCUUGACGUUCACUGAUGCAUUUUAAUACUCUGCUGCUACUGAGGCAGACGUGAAACGAGACAUCGGAAAAUCUCACUGUGCUAUUACGUUGGGACUGACGGUUCUACCCCUAUUAGAGGUUCUCUCUAGGUAAGACGUUAUUAAGAGACGAGGGGGACGUGCGAAGGAUCUCUCGAGGACUAUUUGGAGCACUUGGCCUUCUGAUAAGACUUCCGGAAUUCGUGGGAACGGAUAAAUAUUUUGAAAAAGAGAUACACUGCGUCCCUUUGCUUCUUCUGCCAUGUUAAGAAACAAAAAGGAUCCUACAAAAACUCUGGAAGCUGGGCAUUAUUCUUUUUCCUACCACUUAAGUAAAACAUUUUCCAUUGGCGCUGGACCGUUGAUAAAGAAAAAGGGUUGGCAACGGAAUUCUCAUCAGUAAGAAUAUCCACUUUCUUUUGGAAGGUAUUCAAGAGAAACCUUAGUGGUCCUGGUAGCUCUUUCACAGGAAACACCUCUAUUUCAACUCAUACUGUUGUCCCAGUAACUCUGUACAAUAGCUAUAAUUUAUUAUAACUUUAGUAAAACUAAGAUAAUUUUUGUUAUCUUGGUACAGUCAUUCAAGUAAUUUUGUUAAAACAAUGUAUAUCAUAUUUAGAUUCAAAGAUAACCUAAUAAUCUAUAAACUCGAAUGACUGUACUUAGACUUAAUAUAAAUGGCGCAAAGUGUGUGCACUAGUUCAAUGCGAAUCAUGGAAUUGUGACGUAGAUUAAUUCAGUAAUCAGAAACGGAACCCAGUCGCUUGGUAAAAGGGACAUACGCAUACAGGCAAAAGUCUCUUGUAUAGAUGAAAGUGGAAAAAAAUUUAAUUCGCAUGGCUUGUCUGUACAUUGUUAUCUCGAAACAUGACGUGGUGCACCAGACUGUAAAAUUUAAGAUUAUGAACUGUUGACUAGACCGAGUAAAGAGAAAAAGCAAAAUAAUAGUCACCGUGCCGUUAUAUUAAAGAAUAUAAGUCUUUGCCAGAUGUCUGGGAUUCGAAAAAUAAUGGUCGGUACUUGGUUCAGUGGAUUCGCUGAAAGUCCUAGGACGCAAAACAACCUAUUUAACGCUUGAGAGUAGGUAGGUUAACAAGAUGAAUCAAACCAGUUUCCUUAGUAGCCGUCUUGCGACGAACAUAUUUCAAAUUUCAUAAUUGAACUCCAUCCUGCAUUGUUGAACACGAGAGGGAGCACGGAUGCUUCGCAAUAUUGGAAUUCAAAGACGAACCAGUGCGUUCCUGGUUCGCACCCUGUAUACGUACAUAAAAACCGCGCAUACCUAGACUGUCCACCGUACAAUUGGUAAUGAGAAAACUUGCGCUGUUACUUAUUCAUAUGUACGUAUUAACCAUACUAUGCAUUUCGCAUACUGUAUAAUAACAAAGAUCUCGAGCAAACGUGUCGCCCUCUGUUGGGAAUUAUUAAAAGCACUGGUGCAAAGCGACAUAACUGACACGAAGCGACACUGUGUAUAAAGCAUAAGUGCGUUCAGGAUAAGUUAGGCGAUGAUAACACCAGGGUCCUUUACAAUUUUGUAUGGUAUCAAGGUAAAGCCAGGGUGAUUUUUUAAUAUUAAUUGUGAUGAUCAAGAGAGGAUUAUCAGUCUAAAUUCAUCUAAGGGUAUCCAUAUUGGUACCCCCACUCUUAUUGCCCUGAUUUUAUUAACCCUUAUACGACAAUGUACACUUAUGAGAGCAAAUCUGAUCCUUGUUAACCGACGGAACUGGAAACUCCUCAGGAGAAUUCGUAUUAACCGUUUUUAAUCGUCCCUUUCACCCUGGAGAAAUUUCACGUCGAAGGCGUGGCUCCAGGGGGUUGCGAGGCAACGACACCCCGUGACCUCAAGUUCUUCGCGUCUCCAGACUUGCUUCGUUCUUCGCUUGUUCUCGCCACGGCAAGAUUCUCUUCCGUAACUCAAUUAUGCAAAGAGACGUAUAAUAAUUGCUAUUGCGUCAUCGGAAGUUCCUUUUCAUUCAAGGUUCACUUCGGUAACGCUCAUUUGGGUUUCAUGAUAUUCAGCUAUACAGAAAAUUGAGAUCUCAAGUACUUCCGGUGGAAAUUUGAAAAUCUCUAUUUUCACGGAUACGUCCUAUGUAAACUUCUAAUCUUAUAUCUAUAAGGACUCUCAUAUCUAUACGUAUGUGUCAUAUGAGUAUGCAGAUACUUUACUGUAUAUAUGUUCAUGAAUGCGACGACCCUUAUUCGACGUCCUUAUAUGGCACAUACUAUAUGCAGAUAGAAGACAGAUGUCAGAUCAGGCUGGAAUUUUGAUUUAUGAAAAGAGAGAGGAACGUGGCAGCAAAUAUAAAUCUUCAUCUGUACAUAUGUGACUGUAGGUAUAUAGUAACUCAUAUAUCACUACCGUAGGUGAUGUCCGUCUAUGUCUAUUUUACAUUGCCAUGAUAAAUUUUUGCAGAUCUGACCGUGGUCCUGAGUGUCAAUGGAGCACGUGUUCUUUGUCUCAUAGCACGUGCAAGAAAUAUACAACGCGUUUGCCUAUAGUACAAUCUUCUUUUAAUCUAAAUAACAAAUGAAAGUCACGCAAGCUAAAGAAUCGAUGACAAUCGAGAACAUGGGGUUUUAUGUAUUGAAAGAUAACAGAGGGAGAAAAAUUUCAAUCGCGAUAUUCGAGAUUUAUACACCUACAUAUUUUUUAAAUGUAUUUCUUUUAUCUUCAAAUACGUAAGAGACAGUUUAUUGUAAAAUACGUCGUAUGCUAAAUUUCCAUUGCUAAAAGUCUCUCAAAGUCUCCCUGCUCUCGGGCACAAAGCCGUUUCUCAUCCGGUAUGAAAUACUUCAGUUAUAUUUAUGCAUGUCAGAUUUAUCAUGGAAUAAAAACUCCUGCUAGACGGUAUCAGGGAUUAAUAUACAUAAUGCCUCAAUCGAUAUCUGUACGAAAUAUCAAAAUCGUCUAGUGAUAAUAUUUUAGAUUUUUUUUUUGUCAGGGUACGUGCAGCCAGGUAGUAUUUGUGGUCAGUGUCGUGUCAGACGCUAUACACGUCACGGUAUCACGAUAUAUGUAUAAAUAGGUGUUAUACACAGUCAUGUAUAUAUGCGUGCAUAUAUAUAUAUAUACCAACUCCCUUUCUCUCUGGGAUACUGCUGUGUGCUUUCAUGACUUAUUUAGCGUCCAUCAUUGUUAAUCACUUCAGCCAUUAUCGGAAUAUCAGCGUGCGUGUCUCACAGGAUCCUGAGUCUUUCCGUUGAG